rnacentral:tRNA from 1 species
CAUUAGAUAGCUGAAAGUAAGCAAUGGAAUUUUAAACCAUAGGAUGAUAGUUGAACACCUAUCUCUAAUG